AAACUUAAAGGAAUUGACGGGGCCCGCACAAGCGGUGGAGCAUGUGGUUUAAUUCGAUGCAACGCGAAGAACCUUACCAGGGCUUGACAUCCCCUGACCGCGUAUGAAAGUACGUUUUCACCUUCGGGAGACAGGGAGACAGGUGGUGCAUGGUUGUCGUCAGCUCGUGUCGUGAGAUGUUGGGUUAAGUCCCGCAACGAGCGCAACCCCUACGUUUAGUUGCUAACAGGUGAAGCUGAGCACUCUAGACGAACUGCCGUUGACAAAACGGAGGAAGGUGGGGAUGACGUCAAAUCAUCAUGCCCCUUAUGUUCUGGGCUACACACGUACUACAAUGGCCGUUACAACGGGAAGCGAAGGAGCAAUCCGGAGCAAAUCCCUUAAAGGCGGUCCCAGUUCAGAUUGUGGGCUGAAACUCGCCCACAUGAAGGCGGAAUUGCUAGUAAUUGCAGAUCAGCAUGCUGCAGUGAAUACGUUCCCGGGCCUU
rnacentral:rRNA from 1 species